rnacentral:pre_miRNA from 1 species
GGAUAGCAUUGUUUUGCUAUCCUCUGCCAAUAACACAAUGACACGUGAAAAAGUUAUCCUACAUGUCACUGCGUUAUUGGUUGAGGAUAGCAAAAAGUGAUAUACCC